rnacentral:rRNA from 1 species
UACGUAGGAUGCAAGCGUUAAUCGGAAUUACUGGGCGUAAAGCGCACGUAGGCGGCUUUGUAAGUUAGAGGUGAAAGCCCGGGGCUCAACUCCGGAAUUGCCUUUAAGACUGCAUCGCUAGAAUUGUGGAGAGGUAAGUGGAAUUCCGAGUGUAGAGGUGAAAUUCGUAGAUAUUCGGAAGAACACCAGUGGCGAAGGCGACUUACUGGACACAUAUUGACGCUGAGGUGCGAAAGCGUGGGGAGCAAACAGG